UACUGAGUUUCAAUACAGGAAUGUGAGUUUAGUGAAGGAGCUAUUGAAAGAGACGAAAGAAAGUAGAAUAUUCAUGACAGAAAUUGUAAAAUAAGUAAGUAUGAAUUGAUAGAUCUUGUGUAAUAGCGUUGUUUACAAUGAGAAAAAACCGGGACUCUAUUUCCCAUCACACCUUGGGAGAGACGGCUUGUCUUUUUACCAGAAGUGCGUAGGUCGAAUAAAACUGUGAGUAAGGUCAGGGAAUGUUGAUUUAACGAAAGUCUCCUCUUUGACCCACUUGGCACUAGACCUCCAGAAGUUAUAAUGUGUGUACAUAACAACGGCUAGAUAAUGACGAUUCUUGGAGACGUUAGUCACAUUUUUACACCUUUACUAAGGCCUUCGGAAAACCGUUUCAGAUUUUGUAAAACCACACUUGUCAGCUUGUUAGAAAACACAAAGUAAUUUCAUUUAAUAUACACAUUUUAAAAAUGUUUUAAGUCCAAUCAGAGGACGUAUUGUAGCUAAUUAUGAUACUGUUUUAAAAAGUGCUUCAUUGGUUAUCUAGUGCAGGCUUCUGGAAUCCUUCUCAAAGUGACGUCACCGUAUUUCACCUAUCGUGUAAACUAAGUCGUGACGGGCGUGAUCGGUUAUUUCAGUGUUCAAACCCGUGGCUGGAACAAAAAAAAAGUAACAUCGGGUAAAUUUAAUUUUUGAUAAAUCUGGAUUGCAACUCUUAUAUCACCCGGUCGAAUCACGUAUUCUUGUAGUCGAUGAAGAUAAUGUUAUUUUUAGCAUACCAUAUGUAAAAAUAACCGAACGUUGUCCUACUGCGCAGAAGUGUCAUUUGCCUUGUGGUGUUGGUAGCUAAACUGUCGUUUAUUUAAUUUCCUACGUAUAAGCCGCAGGACGUCACUUCGAAGGCAGAUGAGUCCUCAUAAAUCAUAAAGCGAUCUGCUACGAUAUUUGCGAGGAAUGAUCUGCUUGUUCGACUUGCCAACCCUGAAAAAGCAGGGCCAGACUUAAAAACAGGCAAGUCAGAAAAUAAAACGUCUUUUGUUAUUAAUUUUAGAGAAAGUUAUUUAGAAUCGCUAAUAGAUGCCUCUAAUCGUGGAUAUUGUUACUGAAGGGCAUUAUAAAAUCAUCAUAAAUUCUGAGCGAUAUUAGUGUUAACAGGGCGGUCUGUAUCAGUGCAGAUGAGCAGGGUCCAAGGUGAGACAGGACUUGUGGUCAUCUUUCCAGUUUUGAAUAAGGCAUCAUCUCUUCCACUAAUUUCAGAAUUCAUUCUGAGUAUAAGUAACCGUUUUUUGUGCAGCUUUAUUAAGAUAUUUAAACAAGUAUGUAUUUUAUGUUUUUAUGGUUUAUGUUUCAGGUUCUCCUCAUGUCAGCAUGGGUUUCCUCCAGGUGUUCCAGUUUGUUUUCACAGUACAAAAACAUGCAGCCCUGCUAGGUCCUGAUUCUUUCCUAUACGAAGAUUUCCAUCCUGACAACCACAUAUCCUCCAAGCAAGCUGUCACAGGACAGGACUAAGACAGUCCCAGACAUGAAGCCUUCCUGAAAACUGUCUCAAGAAGUGCAGGCUAAUGUGACCGGCAACUUCAAAUUGACCCUGAAUGAGUGAGCGGAGGUCUGCAUUUUAGCCUGGACAGCUGGAACUCCUGAGGGGGGAAAACACCACUGUGGAAAAUAGCUGGAUAAAUGAAGAAACAGUAUUCUUCUGUCUCCACACUCUGCAUCGUUAACCAACAUGGUGGAAAAGGUCAACUUGCCAAGAUCUGACAUUUUCAUUUGAUCCCAAAUAAUAGGCGGAUAUAUGUGUAAUAAAUGUGCUGUAUUUGCUAACGUAACACGUAAGUUGGGACGUUUCUCCAAAGUGAUGUACAAGUAGGUGGCUCACAACUCCUGCAGCCCUGGCUUCAAAUCUCAAGCCCAGUGACUACGUGAGUAGUUUUUAAUUUUUCUCCACAUUUUCUCUAUGUGAAUUUUUC